UGGCUGAGUGGUUAAGCGCCUGGCUCCGAACCUGGGUACCUGGGUUUGAAUCUCGG
rnacentral:tRNA from 1 species